rnacentral:lncRNA from 1 species
UCGCCUUUCUCAAGUGGCCGAUCAAGGGACUCUGGGCUUAGGCGCGUGACCCGACCGCCCCCGCCUUUGUGAUUUUUUCCUCUGUUUGCCGAAAAGGAGAUUCCCUGUCGGAAUAUUAUCACUUUUCUACGAGAAAAAUGGCGUAAAAAUUGAUUUUAAACAGCGGUUGACAUGCUUCGAAGUACGGUAAUGGAAUAUUUAGAAUUUUUUUGUCACGAAUUGCGCCAUGCGCGCGACCCUUCUUUACCAUUUCGGAUAGUGUCUGGGACGCACGAACAAAACGCCGCUAUUCGGAUAUAACGAUGGAUUAUUUUGGACCAAACCAACAUUUGUUAUUGAAGUAGCAGUCCUGGGAGUGCAUUCUGACGAAGACAACAAAAGAUCUCCAGGCUCAAAGCGUCAGUCCACCAGAUCUCCAGGCUCAAAGCGUCAGUCCACCAGCUGAACUCUCAGUCAGACUGGUGGAUGGGACCACUUCCUGUUCUGGGACAGUGGAAGUCUUCUACAGAGGAGAGUGGUUAGGUCUAUGUUCUAGGUGGUGGGGCAUGAAAGAGAUCAAGAUUUUGUGUAGAGAGCUGGGAUGUGGGAAUGUUGUAGCUAAAUCUAGAGGACCACCGUUUGAAGAUGGAAGAAGAGGAAUCAGCAUAUGGCUUUGUAGUGG